rnacentral:rRNA from 1 species
GGAAGGCAGCAGGCACGCAAAUUACCCACUCCCGGCUCGGGGAGGUAGUGACGAAAAAUAACGAUACGGGACUCAUCGAGACCCCGUGAUCGGAAUGAGUACGCUCUAAACCCCCUAACGAGGACCUACCGGAGGGCAAGACUAAUGCCAGCCGCUGCGGUAAUUUUAGCUCCGGUAGCGUAUACUAAAAUUGUUGCAGUUAAAAAGCUCGUAGUCGGACCUCUGCUCCGGACGCCGGGGGCCGCUCGCGCGGUCUCCCGCUGCGCUUCCGGGCAUUCUGCCCGCCACCUCGGGGGUGAUUUUAAAAGGUCGUCCCCGGGUGGAAGGCGGUGAUCGCUUUGCAAAAAUUAGAGUGCUCAGAGCAGGCCCUGCCGCCUGGAUAGUAAUGCACGGAACGAUGGAAGACGCCCUCGGUCCCGGGUUUCCGUGGGAACAGGUCGACGGAGACCGAGGGAAUGAUCGAUAGGAGCAGACGGGGGCAUCCGUAUUCCGACGCUAGAGGUGAAAUUCUUGGACCGUCGGAAGACGACCCACUGCGAAGGCAUUUGCCAAGAAUGCUUCCAUUGACCAAGAACGAAAGUCAGAGGCUCAAAGAAGAUUAGAUACCUUUGUAGUUCUGACCGUAAACGAUACCCUCCAGCGAUCCGGCUGCGUACGAACGUGACGCGCCGGGCAGCUUGCCCGGGAAACCUGAGUUCAGGCUCC